GAUGAACGCUGGCGGCGUGCCUAAUACAUGCAAGUCGAGCGAACAGACGAGGAGCUUGCUCCUCUGACGUUAGCGGCGGACGGGUGAGUAACACGUGGAUAACCUACCUAUAAGACUGGGAUAACUUCGGGAAGCCGGAGCUAAUACCGGAUAAUAUAUUGAACCGCAUGGUUCAAUAGUGAAAGACGGUUUUGCUGUCACUUAUAGAUGGAUCCGCGCCGCAUUAGCUAGUUGGUAAGGUAACGGCUUACCAAGGCAACGAUGCGUAGCCGACCUGAGAGGGUGAUCGGCCACACUGGAACUGAGACACGGUCCAGACUCCUACGGGAGGCAGCAGUAGGGAAUCUUCCGCAAUGGGCGAAAGCUUGACGGAGCAACGCCGCGUGAGUGAUGAAGGUCUUCGGAUCGUAAAACUCUGUUAUUAGGGAAGAACAAAUGUGUAAGUAACUAUGCACGUCUGGACGGUACCUAAGCAGAAAGCCACGGCUAACUACGU
rnacentral:rRNA from 1 species